rnacentral:rRNA from 1 species
UACGUAGGGUGCAAGCGUUGUCCGGAAUUAUUGGGCGUAAAGAGCUCGUAGGCGGUUUGUCGCGUCUGCUGUGAAAACUCGGGGCUUAACCCCGGGCCUGCAGUGGGUACGGGCAGACUAGAGUGCGGUAGGGGAGACUGGAAUUCCUGGUGUAGCGGUGAAAUGCGCAGAUAUCAGGAGGAACACCGGUGGCGAAGGCGGCUCCCUGGACCGACACUGACGCUGAGGCGCGAAAGCCAGGGGAGCAAACGGG